AGCGUAUACUAAAGUUGUUGCAGUUAAAAAGCUCGUAGUCGAAUUCGGGUUGUAGUUUGCGAUUUUCUAUUGGUUUUAUACUUCUGGAAGGUGUGCAAACGACACCCAUCAUGUCAUUUUAGAUUUGAUUUUUAUUUUACUAUAGAAAUUAAAUUAUUUAAAAUGCCAUUUUUUACUGUGAACAAAAUAGAGUGUUCAUGGCUGGCCAUUUUGGCUUAUAUACCUCAGCAUGGAAUAAUAGAAUAGGACUUCUGGUUCUAUUUUAUUGGUUUUUAGAGCCGAAGUAAUGAUUAAUAGGGAUAGUUGGGGGCACCCGUACUCCGUUGUCAGAGGUGAAAUUCUUGGAUUUACGGAAGACGAACAACUGCGAAAGCAUCUGCCAAGGAUGUUUUCAUUGAUCAAGAACGAAAGUUAGGGGAUCGAAGACGAUUAGAUACCGUCGUAGUCCUAACCAUAAACUAUGCCAACUGGGGAUUGGUAGAUGAAUCAAAAUACAAACGACUCUAUCAGCACCCUAUGAGAAAUCAAAGUCUCUGGGUUCUGGGGG
rnacentral:rRNA from 1 species